UGUGAAAGUUGCUCUUAAAAGAAGAUGAAAGUGAAAGUAGUAGACGAUUCAAUUUACAGCCCAUGAAACGUGGAGCCCACCCAAUUCAUACUUCAUAGCCCUAAAGGCGGUAGAACAGAAAAAUUUCAAUUUACAAUAAAUCUGGACUCCAUUUGGUACAGUUCAAGUUUAAUCUAGGAACCUUAGGCUUUCGUUUUUUUUUUCAACAAAGGGAGGAAAAAGACGAAGAUCAAGCUAGGUUAUUUUAAAUUCGGAAUUUCCCCCAUCUAAAGAUGCUUCCCCUCUUUUUGCUCAAGACUGCACAGGGGCAUCCUAUGGUAAGCUUUUGAAUUCAUGUGGAAGAGGGGUAGUGUCUCUUUUUUUUCUC